UCCCUGGAGGACUAGUGGUUAGGCAACAGCUCUCUCACCUUUGCCGCCUGGGUUCGAUGCCCAGCCAGGGAA
rnacentral:tRNA from 1 species